rnacentral:rRNA from 1 species
GGUUGUCGUCAGCUCGUGUCGUGAGAUGUUGGGUUAAGUCCCGCAACGAGCGCAACCCUUGAUCUUAGUUGCCAGCACUUCGGGUGGGCACUCUAAGGUGACUGCCGGUGACAAACCGGAGGAAGGUGGGGAUGACGUCAAAUCAUCAUGCCCCUUAUGACCUGGGCUACACACGUACUACAAUGGCCGGUACAACGGGCAGUGAAACCGCGAGGUGGAACGAAUCCUAAAAAGCCGGUCUCAGUUCGGAUUGCAGGCUGCAACUCGCCUGCAUGAAGUCGGAAUUGCUAGUAAUCGCGGAUCAGCAUGCCGCGGUGAAUACGUUCCCGGGUCUUGUACACACCGCCCGUCACACCACGAGAGUUUAUAACACCCGAAGUCGGUGGGGUAACCGCAAGGAGCCAGCCGCCGAAGGUGGGAUAGAUGAUUGGGGUGAAGUCGUAACAAGGUAGCCGUAUCGGAAGGUGCGGCUGGAUCACCUCCUUU